rnacentral:tmRNA from 1 species
GGGGGCGACAUGGCUUCGACGUGGGUCGCGAAACUCUGAGUGCAUGCCGAGGAACAGAUUACCUCGUUAAUCCAUCUGUAAAACCUAUAGUUGCCAACGACGACAACUACGCACUAGCUGCUUAAGAACCAGCUCAGUGUCUUCUGCCCGGUUAGUGCCUGUACGUCCGGAUCCCAGGAGUCACUUUUACAGGAUCGCAGAUUGAAUGUGUUUAGGAUUCAAUUUACUAAAACUUUACUAAACUGGUAUCAAGUUUUCCCUUUCUGUUAGGUAGCUUGAUAUAAGAUUAUUAACAGAAUAAGCAUGUAGACCUCGGUGCGGAGGGCUUGCGGACGCGGGUUCGAUUCCCGCCGCCUCCACCA